UGAAAUAUUGUGUGCCCAGGGCAGU
rnacentral:piRNA from 1 species